GGAGAUUUUGUUUGGUCGUUUAACCAGUGUGACAUAGAUAGUACGACUUCACAUGAUAUACCUGUGCGUUUCAAGGCACAAAUUGUCGAUAAGUACAUGUUAGUUAAAAGAUUGGAAGAGGAAAAAGCACUUCUGAACAUGGAGAUGAAAAAUUAUAUGAUUUAUUAUUUGGAAAACGUUUUGCCUCUCCUUUGUGAAA